CAUAUUGUGACAUUUGCUUGUAAGUUUUGCUAACGCAAUAUUAAUUUAAUUUAAUCACUUUCUUCUGCCACUUUUCGCCACGAGGUUCUCUCAAAUUUUUAUAGACUUUUAUUGAGCAAGCGGUUUUGCUAUACAGUCUAGAAUUUUAAGAAUAAGAAUCUGAGAGUUUUGGUCUACAGAUUGCCAAUAAGAGAAGAGAUUUCUUUCUGGGAUUACUCCCAGCAAGAAAUUAUUCCCAGCAAGAAAUUCCAUUAAGACAAAGUUAAAUCCUGCUGGAAAAUAAAUUAAGUUUGAAAGCUUCUGAUAACCAGAACUUAAGAAGAAAACUUUUAGGAAACAAUCUGAUUGUAGAUUCGUUGGCAAGUUGAAAGCUGUAAGAAUCUUGAAACCCCUGGUGAAAUACUAACAGAAAUUGGAAAUGUAGAAAGAAAUAGAUGUAGCUGAAACUCUUGCAAUCAGCUUCAAUAAUAGGUGCUGUGUCAAAGGAUGUCUGUGUCUCAAUUUCUUAUUGCCUAAAUAGGUAAGCCUGAUGAUUUAGGACUCAUGAUGGUUCUAUUCGAUACUAUAACUUAUUCUCUCAAUACUUCAGUUUUUAAUGUCUGUGAAGAUUGUUUAUUUAAUUGGUGUUCCACUUAAGUUAAGCAGAAUUCUCAUACUUGUUAAAUAAAGAUUUUGUAGUUACUUUGACUAUGAUUCUUUGAUUAAAACUGCGCUAAAUAGAGGAAACGUACUCAUGCGUAAUACAGCAAUGACUUUCAUCCUUGCUAGCGCGCGGUUAACUUAGUGCCGUUAGCCUUUUGAACCGCACA